rnacentral:tRNA from 3 species
CGCGGGGUGGAGCAGCCUGGUAGCUCGUCGGGCUCAUAACCCGAAGGUCGUCGGUUCAAAUCCGGCCCCCGCAACCC